rnacentral:lncRNA from 1 species
GCCGCCCGGACAUUCCCAAACCUCCGGUACCCGGCCUCAAGUUCGGACAUGAUAUAGAUCAGCUGCAGACAUGGGCAUUACGUCAGGAAAGCGAAGUAAUGAAAACACUAAGAAAAAAGGAGACGAAGUGGGACUUACCCCGACCAUGGUCGGGUAGAACGAAGAUAGCAUCUCGGUCACUUGCCGAGACUUCAGCACCUCCA